CUGUGAAGCCCAGAACAGAAGAGGACGUCAUAACUCCACCUUACAUCUGAUUGUUGUGGCAGGGAAUUCAACAAUAGUAAUGAAUAUCAUCAGGUUGACUCUGGUGGUCUUGAUGCUGAUUCCUCUGCUUCUCCUGAAUCUGUGGACGAGGAAGAAGAAAACUCGGAGCUCCACCUCUGAACCAAAUGAACCUGUAGAGACGAUAGAGGUG